GCAUUUGUCGCAUCUGUGCAAUUUGAGAUCUGGUAGAUGGUAUACGAUACUUGCUUAUAAAAAUUGUCACAGCGAGGGUCCCCGAUGAUAAAAUAGCUUCCCACCCUUAAGGCAUCCAGAAACUCUGUUCUGUCAUUUAAUACUGGUAAGUGCUUAGCAUUUAUUGAGCACUUUUAUGUUGUAUUAAGGGCACAGAGUAAUAUCUUUUACGUUUCAUCAGGAUAACAUUCUAGACUUCAAUUUUACAUGCCUACACGUACCUAGAGGUCUCAGCCCUUUUUUAAGAAGAGGCUGCUAUUGACUGAUGUUUUUUUAAAGCUAGGCAGUGUGCUUACUGAGCCCAAACCUGGGAACAAAGGCUGAGGAAAGGAAUGUAUGCUAACCAUAAUAACAAUAAAUGCAAAACCUCCAUGAUGACCCAUGUAAAAAUAAAAAGGAAAUCAAAAGCAGACUUUUUCCUCUUUCAGUGUAAUUUGUAUUAAAUGCCCUAGAGGGGUUUUUGGUUGUAAAAUGGAUAAGCAAAAUUAAAUAUUCCUGUCACUGCUAUUGUUUAGGGGGAAAAAAAAAAAGCCCUAAACAGCAUGUAGGGUUGUUUGUAAUGAAUAAGAUUUAGGUCAGAUGGGGUCUUAACCAGAGCCCUGGGCACUGUAGUCAGAGGUGUACGAUUUGCUAGGCCAGCUACUGUCUAAACACAGAUGGGUGGAAUUAAAGAGAUAUCACAAGCCAGCUCCUGAGGUGGGAGAAGCAAGGGUAUAUAUAUUUAUUUAAAGGAUACAGAUCAGAUAAUAACUGGAUUAAGAAGAAAAGAAAUAGGGAAAGAAGCCUCUUCCCCUGCUCCCAGAGUUUAUCUGCCAGGAGCACUUUACUGCUUCCCUACAGCCAUCCAUGAAACCUGAUGCCAGGAACAGGCUCCUCUCCUGCUGUGGUGCUGGGAAUAUCCGAGUUCCCAGGGCCACAGAGAGGUGGGGGAGACAAGGAAAAAAUCUCUUUGUAGAGUUCAGGAUAAAAAUAGCAUCUCAAAGAAAAUGACCUUUUUAGGGACACAAGAAUGAGAUCCUGUCUUUGAAAGCUUGUCCUGGUCAGGCCAGAUAUAUGAUUCCCUUGAUACCCCAUUAACCUCCGUGCGGAAGGACUAUGGUCCAACCUAUUCUUUCUGCUAGGCCCAGAUUUUCACCAUUGCGCAAGGGUGGAGGAUCAACCAACUGCUCCUUCCCUUUUCCUCAGCUUCCCUGAGCCUCCAGGAAUUUGAGGACGUGGCUUCUCCUCAGUAGCACACCCUCCCCCGUCUUAUGAUAACAUCAUAAAAUGAAUGAGAAGCAACUGCUGACUGCAGGUUAUGGACCUUAUGGUUAUGGAGUUUAAGCCAUGAAUGAAAAGCCACCUGAGAAAAGUGGAUCGGGUCUGAAGAACUCACCUAGCUGAUAUCCAAACGAUAUACAAGGCUUUAGCUGGGCAAUUAUUGCAUGUUAGGCUCCCUGUGAGAAAUCAAAGGGAUGCCUGAGAAUGCAGUGUUUAUGAGACUGUAACAUCUUCUCUUGUCUCGGUGGAGUGAAAUAUAUUUUGGCAAUACAGUUUGAGCUAAAUCAGCUUCUUAAUAAAACAGAGAAAUACACUUGGUGAAUCUUUACACUGACUGAGUAAUUGCUUAUGCCGUGUAGGGAAAGGUGUUUGGUUUAUUAAUGGCUGAGCCCUGCUUAGUUUAAGCAUCUCUAUUGACUCCUGAGGUACCCAUGGGAGUACAGAGAGAAGGACUACACCCUAAAAUAAAGCAAAUUUUAGGGAAAGAAUCAGUUGCUGGAAUGACAGAGGAAAUAUAUAAUGAAAAGUUAUCACAGCAAGGGGAGAGAGCGAAUGGGUUGGAGAGAAGGGAGAGUAGAAGGGAUGAGAGACAGGAUGGCAGAAUGGUGUGUAAUUCUGAUGGUGAGGUAAGGGGGUGAGGUAGGAUUUUCUUGUAGUUAGGCUUUCAUUCACAAAAUGGGUUUUUAAUGGGUCGUAUCCUGUUGAAAUGCAAAGAUAAACAGACUUUCUGAGAUCCUUCCUGGUUGAUGAAAUCAUGCUCUUAAAUUGCAAAGGAGUAUUUUCCUUUGAGAAGUGGAAUUGAUGGGGUGUGGGUGCUAAACCAUUUGGGAUUCUGCUCACCAGGACCACAAAGAGAAGAUUUGCUGACAAGAAGGAAGAAUAAAUAAUAGAGAAGGAGGAUGCAAUAAUAAAUUAUCUAAGAAGUGUGUGGUUGCAAAGAAUCUGUUCCAACAGAAAAAUGCUGUAAGUUACAGUAGUCAGGGAGCAGCUGGAGAGAGCUGCAAACAGUGCAAGCAAGAGAGCACGUGGGAAACAAUGGGAGAUAAAGCAUCAAGAGGAAGAAUUAAAAUCCAGUGAAAAGCAAAGAAGCCAAUGCCACUAAAGCUGUCGGUUUAGAGUGGUUAUUUUGGAUUUGCCCUUCUAUUAGGUUAUUUUUUCAUUUAUCCCUAGCCAGAGUCCAGGUGUUCAGCAUUACUUAUUUGUGUAAUUUGCCUUUUCUUGCCUGUUGGUAUUCCUGAAUAAGACAUGUACAGGGAUGAGCCAGGAGUGGGGGCUGGGGUAAGCUGCUUUCAUUUUAAUGUAAAAUAUCUAUUUUAAUGCCUUGCAGCCAAAAAAUAAAUUCGGUGUCAGGCAAACUGAGGUGAGGAAGAAAAUGUUAAAGGAUGAUAUUUUACUGAUCAGGUUAAGCUUAGCAACAUCAGGAGAAAUUAUAACUAGGUUGGCAUUGGUCUGCAAUUCUGCAGUCUCAUGUACCUCUUCACAAAUCAGUGCCAGCUGAAAUGGAGAGAGGUUGGAGGGUUAGUGUGGCAACAUCUGAGUAUCACAGAAAUUGUCUGCAGCCUUCCACUGGUUUGUUGCCCAUCAGUGAUUUCACUUUCCCUAAUCAGUGGGAGUAGAAUUAUUUGCUUAAGCUACAAGUGGUUUAAUACCCCUAGAUGCAAACUACAGUCAAGUGAUGAAGUAUUUUUACCAUGUAAAUGAAAAUAAUUAGUGGUAAAAAUAGUCCUAAUUUUUUUAAUAGGUAAUAAAAAUACUGCAAAUCAUGCUGCCAUUAGAAGCUGCUUACAAAGCUAUGACUGCAAACAGUAGUUAUAUAGGUGAUUAGUUAAUCUUGCCUGUGCUCCUUUUCUGAUAGGACCAAAAUUACACACUUAAAAAUACACUUAAAAAACUAGAAAGGUUUCAGUCCUUUAAACUGAUGUAUAGAAGAUGACCCAUCCUACAUAGAUGCUAAUUUGAGAGCUGGUUGGUUAUAAUUACAGAGGCAAUAUGUGUUUUGUUUGGCGGUUCAUUUGGCUUUUUUAAUUAAAAAGCCCACAGGAAUAUUAAUACCAUAUUCUGAGGCAUUCUUAGUAUGAAAUCUAUAAAAGGCAUCAUCCAAAGGUAGGAAAUCCAAAAUGAAAGGUGGAAAUUCUGCCCUUUAGUUUUGUCUGCAGAGGGGAAGUCGAUAAAGUUAUUAUAGCAACCCUCGAGUAUAACUCUGCCUUGGGGAUAAAUAUAUAUUUUGAUAGAAGUCUGGAACUGUGUAACCUUAGCAGUGUCCCCGCAAGGGAGCCGAUCCGCACUGGGUGCUGCGGAAAACAGCUCCCUGGUGGAUUUUCUCGGGUGCCCCAACCCCUGCUUUAUAGGAAUUGCAGUUCUUGGGCAGUAGAGGGCAGAGCCACUGCUUUGCUGUCCCCUUCCAAGCCCCCUUCCUCCUGAUUUUUUUAUUUUUUAGAAUCAUUUUCCCUUUUAUCACGAGAAGGUUUUCUUUAAAUGUACAUCCCUUUUUAUCUCUUCAUCCCAGUAUUGGUUUCUAAAUAAAAGUUUCCUGUGCUGCUGUAUAAUUAGUCCAAUUUCCCCUCUGGAUUCACUCACAUCACGAGAAUAAAUUUCAGUGGUUUAUACCCUGGCCAAGCAUACCGAUGCAACACUUGAAGGGGAAUCCUGUCCUUGUCCCUGUGAGGACAGACAGACUAAUGAGUCUGUUACGCGAUGGCAUUUCCUAUUUUAUUGUGAUAUGACUGCAUGUAUCCACAUUUCUAUUGAUAGAAUAGUGGUCACCUCAGUAGAAACAGGUAUUUUACAGCAGAAAAUGUAAUUAAAGGGCAUCUUAAGGGAAAAGGUCCUAAGCUGUGAAUUUUGACAUGCAUAAAAAUCAGAAUAAGACAACAUCAUAAAUUUUCUCUGGAUGAAAUUACAGUGUUGGUUUUGAGAUGUACCUGACCGUUGCUUUUCUCAUUUCCAUUACUAAGGAUGACUGCAUAAUCCACGUUACAAAUCAAGCAUCAUUGUUUUGGGAUUAAAUAAUACGGCAAAAAAGAUACAGCUCUUCUGUCGUGGUGAGUGGUGCUUUAUUUUGGUAGCCAAACUGGAAGCAUUGACUGGAGAAGAGUUAUUAUUGUGCCGCCUGGUUUUCUUGCUGCUUUGCAAUUGACAAACAUCAUUUAUCAUGCUUUGCAUUCCAAUUUUUCUUUGCAUGUUUUCCAGCUCAUCAUAACAUAAUUAUGUUUCUGUUUCUUUCAGCCAGGGACCGAUACUUUCAUUCUAAGACAACAGCUGCACUGCACAACCUUGAUGAAUCCCCAUAAGGGUAAAAUGUGUCUGUGGUGCUGCUUCUGCCUUGGCAACCCAAAUGUUCAAGCUCUCUUUUAUGACAAAUGCUGUUCUAAAGCUCACCCAACCCCAAUGCUUUCAUAGUAUUUCUCAGAAUGAGAUUUUCUGUUGUAAUUUAUAGACUUGAGAUAUUAAACAUCCUUUCUGGUUUGUAAUUUUAAUGGCUUCUUUAGUAACAUAUCUUUUUGUAGUCAUCAUGGGUUCAUAGACGCGAAGAUGGAAUUUUAGAGGGCCGUAGUUACUGAUGUGCAAUUUAUUUUUUGAACUAAAUUGAUUUUGUGUGUGAAGAUGAGCACAAUCUGGAGGUCUGUUUUAUGCUUCUGAAAGGCGUCUUGAGGGAGCUUUUGUGGUACAGGUGAAUCAUGUCCUUACUUGGCCUCAGUUGGUCCAGCCACACUGCAGUGUAAAGGUAAUUAUACCAACCUGGUCUAUGAAGUGCAUUAACUGCCAGUGACAGAAAAUGCUGUAGGACACAAACAGUGUUUUUAUUAUUGCUUACUGAGAUAUUCUAUUUAACUCUAAUUUAGUCCUUUGAACCUGAGAUUUCAAAGCACUUCAUAGAGGAAGGAUAACAAUUUUAUUUUACAAGGGGAAAGUCAGAGCAAAGUAGGGCCCAAUGCUGGAUGCAAGCGGAGGGCGGAAUCCAUUCUGAAUAUUCCUGAUUUUGUUUAACAAAUCGUACCAUUGCUAAUUUUCAUCUCAUCUCGGACUCCAUCCAUCAGAGCACUGUGAACAACUGAAGCAGUUACUUUUUACAUUCUUAAAGAUUACCUGGAUUUACAAGGAUAGGUAAUAUUGUGUCCUGGACGAAUCCAUGGCCUGGAUAACCACAUUCUUCAGGGGAAAAAUUUCCCUCCAGUUUUGCUUUAUGUACUCAUCUCCUGGAUGCUAUUACUGCUGCCACCAUCAUUUGAAGAUUGAUUGUAUUUAUAUGUAAAAAAUUACAAUAAUUCUGUACACAGAGGCAAAAGUUUUAACUCUUAUAAUCAGUCCUACUUCCAUCUAAGGUGCCGUGAUCUAAGGAUACUGUGAGAUAUUUGAGCGUGAGCGUGUAUGUAACCAUAUCUUAGUUCUGCCCAUCACAUUGGUUACUGAUGUAAUCGCCUGAAAGGCUCAUGGAUGUUGAUGGAAACUGUGCCUGCCCAGCCAAGGCUAACUUCAUCUUCUGCCCAUGAAUGAAACAUUCCCGAUGAAGACCUUGAAUUCUGAAGAGAUUUAAAAAUAGGAAGUUUGAAGAUAAAUUAUGGAUCAUAAGGCUGAGGAGAAAAGAAAGCAACGCCAUAGCUUGACUUUACUGGAAGAAGUAAAGAGAAUGAAAGAAUCAACGGAGAUAAUUGAUGUUGUGCUAGUUGCGGAAGGUGAGAAAUUCCCCUGCCAUAAAUUGGUGCUGGCUGCCUUCAGUCCCUAUUUCAAAGCCAUGUUUACCUGUGGCUUGGUGGAAUGCACGCAAAGAGAAGUGGUGCUGUAUGAUAUCUCUGCAGAGAGUGUGUCUGUCAUACUCAAUUACAUGUACAGUGCAGAUUUGCACCUCACUAAUCAGAAUGUGCAGACUGUGGCACUUGCUGCGUAUUUCAUGCAGAUGGAAGAUGUUUUCAGUAUGUGUCAGAAGUACAUGAUGGACCAUAUGGAUGCUUCCAACUGUGUGGGUAUCUACUACUUCGCAAGCCACAUUGGAGCAGAAGAUUUAUCUGAUCAAGCAAGGAAAUACUUAUAUCAGCAUUUUGCCGAGGUGAGCUUACAGGAAGAAAUAUUAGAGAUUGAAUUCCAGCAGCUGUUAACUCUUAUAAAAUCAGAUGAUCUGAACGUUUCCAGGGAGGAAAGCAUUCUGGACCUUGUCAUUAGAUGGGUCAAACACAGCAGAGCAUCACGUGUAGAACACCUUAUUGAACUCCUGAAGCAAGUGAGACUGGUACUUGUCAGCCCUUCCUUUCUCAUGGAAGCCCGGAAAAGGAACACCAUGAUUCUGUGCAAUUCAGAAUGCAAUGAUAUGUUUGAGGAAGCACUGAAAACCAUCAAGCUAUCCAGUCACCCUUCUCUCAGCCUGCGAUAUGGCAUGGAGACUACUGAUCUUUUACUCUGUAUCGGCAACAAUUCUCUCGGCAUUAGGUCAAGACAUGGUAGCUAUGCAGAAGCCAGUUUUUGUUACGCUCCUGCAACACGGAAGACGUACUUCAUUUCCUCUCCAAAGUAUGGAGAGGGGUUAGGAAGUGUUUGCACUGGUGUUGUCACUGAGAAUAAUGAUAUUAUUGUGGCAGGAGAGGCAAGUGCCACCAAAAUGUCUAGGCAAAAGUCUAGGAACAUCGAAAUUUAUAGAUACCACCAACGAGGAAACCAGUUCUGGCACAGCCUGUGCACAGCUCAGCUCCGUGAACUCUACGCACUGGGCACUAUCCAUAAUGAUCUCUAUGUAAUAGGAGGGCAAAUGAAAGUGAAAAAUCAGUACCUUGUCACAAACUGUGUGGAGAAGUAUUCCAUGGAGCAAGGCACCUGGAGAAGCACAGCGCCUCUUCCAGUACCGUUGGCCUGCCAUGCGGUGGUGACAGUGAAGAAUAAGCUCUACGUGCUUGGGGGGUGGACCCCACAGAUGGAUUUGCCUGACGAUGAGCCGGAUCGAUUAAGUAACAGAACGUUUCGGUAUGACCCGGGCCAAGACAAAUGGACAGAAGGCGCACCAAUGAAGUACUCUAAAUACCGCUUCAGCACAGCCGUAGUCAACAGCGAGAUUUAUGUCUUGGGAGGAAUUGGGUGCCUUGGUCGUGACAGGGGACAGACACGGAAAUGCCUUGAUGCAGUGGAGAUUUAUAACCCCGAUGGAGACUUCUGGAGGGAUGGACCUCCUAUGCCUUCUCCCCUCCUCUCCUUACGAACAAACUCUACCAGUGCAGGCGUCGUGGAAGGGAAGCUGUACCUCUGUGGAGGAUUUCAUGGAGCAGCUCGUCACGAAGUUAUCACCAAAGAGAUCCUUGAGCUGGAUACGUGGGAGAACCAGUGGAACGUGGUGGCCAUCAACGUCCUCAUGCAUGACAGCUACGAUGUUUGUCUUGUUGCUAGGCUAAACCCGCGGGAUCUUAUCCCUCCUCCCCCGGAUUUAGUGGAUCAAUAGAAGUUCAGUGCGUCUCAGUGCUUCCAGAUUCUGCAGAAACUGAAGAAAUUGGAGAGAAAAAUGCUGUAUUCAUUCUGGAUGUCAGCUGAGUCCCGCGGAGAGGAGUUGGCAACACAUGUUUAAGGACAGAAUUGCCUUUGAGCUGUGCUUCUCAGACAAUGCUUAAUUUGCUAGUACUGGUAUUCUGGACUUCUGCAACUGAAAGUCAAGGUUGCCCAGCCUUUGUGUAUGGUUCUUUGUCUUCCAGCUGGCUGUGCAAGCUCCACUGUGGUUGCAGCUGGGGUUUCUGUGGCCCUUUGCCUUACGGGCACAGUGGCAGGCCAGGGCUCGUUUCACAGCAGAGCAGGACAUAUGAAGGAGAACGCUAGCAAGGGAAAUCCCUCCUUUGCUGUUCAUCCUACAUGGUUCUACUAAGAUACCGAUAAGGCUAAGAGAUGUAUGAAGUCAGCUGAUGUUUAAAGAAGUCCAGCUUUACCAAAGGGCCAGACUAUACUUGGUUGAUGCAGGAGCAGAGGGAAAACAGAGAAGAGCCUUCUUUUGUUUUAAACAAAAAAACCAAGGUUCGUUAGCAAAGCCCACCAGCCACUGCAAACAUUAUCUUACUCACAGACAGGACAGUCAAGAGAUCCUGUUUUUGCCAACAGAGCUGAGCCUCUGCUAGUAGAAAACCAGGCUUUCGGCAAUAAGUCACAAUCAAGUCUUCCAGCAGGGUUAGUAGGCAGCCUGUACCAAAGACAAGAAGAAUGUUGAACUUUCAUAUAGAUCCUACCUGUUACGAGGCUUGGUGUGACCAGAACCUUAAAGCUCAUUUAGAAAACCCUCUUCUUUUGAGAGGAAACUAAAAACUAAUAAAUGAGACCAGUGUUAUCUGCAUUUCAUAUCUGCUCUUCAGCCACAGGGAAAGGAUAGAUGUGCUAAACAGUAAAUCUUCAUAUAACAGUAGCUGUUUUUAUAGAAGUAGCUUAAAUGUGAAGUAGCAUAAGGUAAAUUCUAAACCAAGAGAACUGGCUAUAAUCACAGGGAAGAGGAAUAAUUCAAACAGUGUUUCUUAAGACAGCGUUAGCCUUUAAAGGGCUUUAAGACAAUAAUAGGUUAGAGAGAAAAUAGUGCCCAGUGCUGCUAUCCCAUUUGAAUUAUUGAUAACUAUUCAUCAGCUGCCUCGUGCUCACCUUAUGGUAUAUCUGCCUCUCACUGCCUGGGCAGUAUGGACAAGAGAACUGGAAAUCUCAGUUGUGCUCUUGGGCCAAAAUUGCAAAUAAUAAUAUGCUGCAGUGCAGAGUGAAUGUCAGAGGUAAACACCAAGAGUUUGAUAGAGUUCAGGAAUGAUCACUGUCAGCAAGAAGUUGCUUUUGAUGGCUACAAAAGCACCAACAAAAUGAGAAGGAAAUAAUGGGCAAAGAAAUGAGGGAAUAAAUAAGGUAGUUGAUCUGUAGUUACUCGCAGGAUUUGCACUUCAGAGCAUCUCCAUUUUUGUUUUCAAUGGCAUUUUAGGCUGCAAAAAUGCCAGAUGUUUUGUUUUGGUUUGAUCUCCCUGCAAUAUUUAUGGCACAGAGACAUGGAGAGAACGACCCAAAAGACCUUCCCCAAUUCUGACUUUUCUGAUUCAUGAACUAUUUUCCAAAAUAUCCAGUGGGAAUAUUAAGCUGUCAUAUAGAAACAAUUAGCAGGAAGGUCACUAAAGUUUGCGUGAUAACUGCAGUACCACCCUGAAGCACUAAGGGAGUUGAUGAGAGGACGCUAAGGAAAACAUGAAGAAAAGGAGCAGAUCUGUGAGACAUACAGCUAAUCUGGUUUCUCCUUUUAUGUUUCCCAGGGAGAAUGAGCAGCACAACCUAAACACGUACCGUUGUGUUUGUAUCAUUUCUGUAUGAUCCAGUCAUUGUUAUUUUUCUUUCCAUUGUUCAUACAUAGGUCAUCAUCUGUCUAGAAGAGAGUUAUGACAAGCAUGAAGCUCAUUGGUACAAAUCAACCUGUUAAGAGUCUUAACCAAAAGAGUCUGGUUGCUAGAUGCAGUUGUAGAUAGAAGAUCAAGGAGGCAAUAAAUUCUGCCUUAGUAUGUUUUUAAACCAAAUUAGUAGAAAUCUUUUCCAAUUAACUAUUCAAUAUUGGAAACUCUUUUUUUAACUUUCAACGUUACUGCAAAGUAAAGAUAAUGUAGUUCUAAUUUCUCUGCAGAGCUCUCAAGGCAGCUGGAAGCAAUGCUCUCAAGCAUCAGUUAAGUGUUUCCUUGCAAAACUCCAAACUCUGCAAUUGUAUCUACCGAUUUUGCUUUUUUCACCUUUUUUUGGUUUAGGGAAGUAUGUUUUAAGGGGUUUGUCUUCAAUCUCUGCUCCGUGGUCUAUUUCUGGCAAUUCAAAUCCUCCUGUGUUUUGAAGCCUAAAUUAAUCUACUGGAUUUCACUGUCUGAAAUACAGUCUGUCUGGAAUAUUUCAAGGGGAGAAGGGAGGCUUUUGCAGGCUGUCAUUAGUCAUAUUUGAACAUAUACAUGGAACACAGCUGAGACUCCUUUAUUAAAUUUUUAUUCCAGUAGAGAGCUGAGUUUUGCUUUUUAAACUGAUACUUACUAAUCUGGAAGGAAAGUAUGUACUCUGAGAAGGUCUGUCUUUACAACCAAGGAGAGAAACUGUAUGUGUUUUGUAUACUGGCCUUGCAGUCAGCUAGAUUAAGCUGUGGUGGGCAGUUAACAGGUUUUUCUUCAUGUGCCACUGGCAAGUGAGCUGCCCUCAUGUGCACUGAGCAUCCUGUUUCCUGCAGUCCACAGGAAUUCCAAUGGCUAGCAAGGAAUCUUCUGUGUCCAUGUGUCUCAGUUUCAGCCCAUAUCUGAAUGUCUAACACUAUAUAUCAAGCACGGAAUUGUUUUCUUCUGGAUUAAUUAUCUAGAACGGGGGCUCUAUCUUCUUAAUUUUGUGGGGGCCUCAUGUAGUUCAUGGUUUGUCCUUGGGGAGACUACAAUUUCUAAACCAAUACUUGGAAAUGAAAGCUUGUCUGAAGAAGGAAAUAAGAAGCAGAAAGCAUGUUUGAGGUGUAUAGAGCUGAGCCAAAAUUCUUCUGAGAUUACAUGAUUCUGUAUGUCUGAUCUAUCUAUGGGUAAUCUUACAUUGCUGGGAAAGUCCUUAAGAGUCUUAAAUUCUUCUAUUACAAAUCCUGAUGCAAAACAAAAAAAAAAAUACAAAAUGUGUUCUCCAAGCUUGUGAGUUUCACUGAAAUAAUGGUUUACUUCAGCCCCUUUCUAUCUGAGCAGUGCUUAGCUGAGCAUUUAAUCAAGGCUGUCUUGACAUCAUCCAUAAUUCUAAAAUGCAAACAAAGCAGCGCAGGUGAACUACCUACUAUUUAAAUGAAUGGGGGGAUUAUUAAGCAAAGGCAUACGUUUCAGUUUCACUUGAAAAGCUGAAGUACAUCACUAGUUGCCAAGUAAAGAAAAACAUUGGAGAAGUAGCUGGUCACGUAUGACACAGAGUAGAGCAGUGAAUGAAAUGCUAUAGAAAGCUACUAGAAGCUCUCCAUUUUUAUCCCCAGCUAAUGUUUUAUUUUGAAAUUGUCCGUGUAUAACUGAUUUUGUAAGGAUUCCUGUACAUAGCUCAUCUGUUUUCAUACAUGUGGUCACAGGAACUGCCCACACAUGUAAACCAUCAGACACCUGAUCACUCAUCCUCAAACCACUACUGGGAUUGCCCGGGGCUCUGUCUCUGCCUGUUCCAGGCAAACACACACAUACAUUUUGCAUGCAUGCGAUAUUAAAAUUUAUGUGGCAGUUUCUGCGUUGUGUUCCAGCUGUAUUGGGCCACUCAAGAAGCCUUGAAUUGCCAGCAGAAAAUUGCCUUGGUGCACACAGAGCUGUCAGCUCCUCUACCAGCAUUCCCAAAUAUGCUCCAGGUAAAAGAGGCUGAGGGAGCAUCAAAACCAAGAGACUGGCAACAGAGAUGAGAGCUGCUUCCAGAAUGAUAUCACACGCGGAGGAGCCAAGAAGACGGGAACAGCCACCCAGGGUGUUCACCGGUCUCCACACUUUUCAGGGGCCCAUUGCUCCAGCAACAGGCUGGCUUUGUGGGACAGAAGGAAGACCAUAGCAGCUCCCUGAAUUUGAGGACGCUCACCUUCGAGGAGGUUCUAGCCCCAAGCCAAAUUCUGUGGUUCGGUCUCACUGCAAAUAAAACCUGCCUUCUCUGCAAUGUUGCUGGUCCCCUGGCUUACGCCCAGGCUUGGAAGAGCUUACCUACGAAGAUAAAUCAGUAAAGACAUCUGACAAGCAACUGUCAAGCAGUCUGAGAGACAGCAUGGGAGUGGCAAGCAAAGUGGAGGAAAAGCAUGUCACAGUUGUGUUUGCUUCCAGGAAUGCUCUGUCAGACCACUGGACACACAGAAGCUACACCAGAGCACAAUUGCAUGGAGCUGCUCAUGUGCUCAUCUCUUGGAGGAGCUUCACUGAAACCAAGGGAUCUCUAGUGGUAUAGCUACACUAUGCAGAGAAAGAGAUCACAGUGAUCUCCUGAAGUGUUGCAUAGAUGAGCACUGGGAUCCAUCUGCAAGAAACUCCUUGCAGAACUGCAGACUGUAUCCAUAUUACACUUGGCACAAGGAUUUCUGGUCCUGAAUGGGACCCUUGGACAUUGACACAUUAUAAGAAUUAAAUAGUGCCAGUAAUAAAACUUGCUGACACAGCUGUGUACAUUUCAUGCAAGCUGAGGCAGCAUCAUAAGUAAAGCAGUUCUUCCACCUUGUGGUUAGACAGACUACUACUGACAGAGUUAAUACAGUAAAAAUCACAGACUGCAUUUGAAUACAGCCAUUAAACAGCCCCAGUGCACAAAGCAUGGGACCUAUCUUGCAGGCUAAUGCUGCAAAUAUUAACUAGUCUUAUUUUGUAAUGGGAAGAUCUGUGUGUGUGUGUGCGUGCAUACUCACACACAUCUACAAAUGCAUAUAUUUGUUGUGCCCUCCAGUGAUCCUAGCCCAUGGAUACUGUGACACUGAGUGUAACAACUGCUGGAGUGUCUUGUUUAGCCUCCUUGGUAAAAAAAAAGGCCUUUAUUUAAUACAAUGUGCAAGCUUUGACACACUGAUAAAAUGUACUGGUGUGGGAACAGAGUGUGAGCAUGUCACAGUUGUGGAAAACGUGAUCUCUUCAAAUAGAUUGUAGCCAGUUUCUGCUAGCAAUGCUUCUAGAAUGAAAAUGGAACCAUUUGAAGGCAAGAAAAAAAUUCAUCGAUGCUUUUCUGCUCAUUUCACCCCUAUUUUCUGCUUUGUACCUCCGGCUAUGGAAGCAAUCAUAUAGUCUUUGUUGUUUGCAUCAAGAUACAAUUCAGCAUGAUUGGGUCCAGUGUCUGCAGUCAGUCACCACAGAGUGAAGCCUGAUUUCAAAAGCAGUAAUUAAAUGUCAACUUUGUACUAAUGCAAUAGAGGUAUAUUGAGAUAUACAAUUUAACCAUAAAUGCGGAAGAUUUCCACUG